rnacentral:lncRNA from 1 species
GGAAGCUUUUUGCUGAAGGAGUAUGAGUAGCCUUAAAUACAGACAUCUCACUGGAGCAUGCCACUGUUGAAAACAAUAGAAAGGCAUCAUGCAAACCAACUGGUCCAUGGAUGAAGCAGCAGAACUUCUUAAUAAUUUUCAGUUCAUAGCCAUCUUGGUAGAGACUCACAAUGGAUGUAUGAGCACAAACCCUGAAAUUAUGGAGAUAACAUUGGGAUUUCGGUGAGUACAUACUGAAUGUUACAGCAAAUUCAGUCCUAAUGCAGCACAAUAUAUCCUUAAGGUU